ACCUGCCUGGGCGUAGGGAACAGAAAGUCGGAAGGGGUAAGAGGAGUUCAGUUCAUCAUGGGGCUGUUUGGAAAAACCAAGGAGAAGCCUCCCAAAGAGCUGUUUAAUGAAUGGUCACUGAAGAUCAGAAAGGAAAUGAGAGUUGUUGACAGGCAAAUAAGAGAUAUCCAAAGAGAAGAAGAGAAAGUAAAACGGUCUGUGAAAGAUGCAGCCAAGAAGGGCCAAAAGGAAGUCUGUGUGGUUCUGGCCAAGGAGCUGAUCAGGUCAAGGAAGGCUGUGAGCAAGCUCUAUGCAUCCAAAGCACACAUGAACUCUGUGCUCAUGGGCAUGAAGAAUCAACUUGAGGUCCUAAGAGUAGCUGGUUCUCUGCAGAAGAGCACAGAAGUGAUGAAGGCAAUGCAGAGUCUUGUGAAGAUCCCAGCAAUCCAGGCAACCAUUCGGGAGCUGUCCAAAGAGAUGAUGAAGGCUGGAAUCACAGAGGAGAUGUUAGAGGAUACAUUUGAAAGCAUGGAUGAUCAAGAAGAAAUGGAAGCAGCAGCAGAAAUGGAGAUUGACAGAAUCCUCUUUGAAAUCAUAGCAGGAGCCUUGGGCAAAGCACCCAGUAAAGUAACUGAUGCCCUUCCUGAGCCUGAACCUGCAGGAGCAGUGGCUGCCUCAGAAGAGGGAGAAGAGGAGGAGGAUGAAGAGGACCUGGAAGCUAUGCAGUCACAGAUGGCCACACUCAGAAUCUAGGGCCACCCAAUUGGGAUCUCAGAUCUCUGGUAUCCUCUUCUAGGUGUGUAUAUGGCCUCUGAGGAGUCACCAUUUCCUGUGUCUCUUGCACUACACCUCUGUUGUGAAGCAUUACAUUUGGAGAGGGUUCUAUGCUGGUAUAUCUUCACUGUCUGCAGAGGAUUUAAGGAUUGUUUUUAUGAAGGUGGUGUAAUCAAAUGUAUUAUUUUCAGGAGCAUAAAUAGCAGCAGUAUCUUCCUGGGGGAGGGCAAAGAAACCCAUCUUCUCAUGAAACAACUCUGAGAAGAGUAGAUUGAAUGCCAAGGACUUUAUAUUUGGUGUGUAUGUGUAAAAUACUAUAUAAGUGGAUGUCAAUAAACUUCUCC